rnacentral:rRNA from 1 species
GAUGAACGCUGGCGGCGUGCUUAACACAUGCAAGUCGAACGGGAAACCUUUUAUUGAAGCUUCGGCAGAUUUAGCUGGUUUCUAGUGGCGGACGGGUGAGUAACGCGUGGGUAACCUGCCUUAUACAGGGGGAUAACAACCAGAAAUGGUUGCUAAUACCGCAUAAGCGCACAGGACCGCAUGGUCCGGUGUGAAAAACUCCGGUGGUAUAAGAUGGACCCGCGUUGGAUUAGCUAGUUGGCAGGGUAACGGCCUACCAAGGCGACGAUCCAUAGCCGGCCUGAGAGGGUGAACGGCCACAUUGGGACUGAGACACGGCCCAGACUCCUACGGGAGGCAGCAGUGGGGAAUAUUGCACAAUGGGGGAAACCCUGAUGCAGCGACGCCGCGUGAAGGAAGAAGUAUCGCGGUAUGUAAACUUCUAUCAGCAGGGAAGAUAGUGACGGUACCUGACUAAGAAGCCCCGGCUAACUACGUG